rnacentral:rRNA from 1 species
AGAGUUUGAUCAUGGCUCAGAUUGAACGCUGGCGGCGUGCCUAACACAUGCAAGUCGAGCGGUAACAGGUGUAGCAAUACAUGCUGACGAGCGGCGGACGGGUGAGCAAUAUUUGGGAAUCUGCCUAUUAGUGGGGGACAACCCGGGGAAACUCGGGCUAAUACCGCAUACGCACUACGGUGGAAAGCCGGGGACCGCAAGGCCUGGCGCUAAUAGAUGAGCCCAAAUCGGAUUAGCUAGUUGGUGAGGUAACGGCUCACCAAGGCGACGAUCCGUAGCUGGUCUGAGAGGACGACCAGCCACACCGGAACUGAGACACGGUCCGGACUCCUACGGGAGGCAGCAGUGGGGAAUAUUGGACAAUGGGCGAAAGCCUGAUCCAGCGACGCCGCGUGGGUGAAGAAGGCCUGCGGGUUGUAAAGCCCUUUCGGUGGGGAUAAAAAGCCUUGGUUUAACACACCAGGGUCUUGAUCUAACCCAAGAAAGAAGCACCGGCUAACUCUGUGCCAGCAGCCGCGGUAAUACAGAGGGUGCGAGCGUUAAUCGGAAUUACUGGGCGUAAAGCGCGCGUAGGUGCUUUGCAAGUCGGAUGUGAAAUCCCCGGGCUUAACCUGGGAACUGCAUUCGAGACUGCUCUGCUAGAGUAUGGGAGAGGGAAGUGGAAUUUCCGGUGUAGCGGUGAAAUGCGUAGAUAUCGGAAGGAACAUCAGUGGCGAAGGCGACUUCCUGGACCAAUACUGACACUCAAGUGCGAAAGCGUGGGGAGCAAACAGGAUUAGAUACCCUAGUAGUCC